rnacentral:rRNA from 1 species
UACGUAGGUGGCAAGCGUUAUCCGGAUUUAUUGGGCGUAAAGGGAACGCAGGCGGUCUUUUAAGUCUGAUGUGAAAGCCUUCGGCUUAACCGGAGUAGUGCAUUGGAAACUGGGAGACUUGAGUGCAGAAGAGGAGAGUGGAACUCCAUGUGUAGCGGUGAAAUGCGUAGAUAUAUGGAAGAACACCAGUAGCGAAAGCGGCUCUCUGGUCUGUAACUGACGCUGAGGUUCGAAAGCGUGGGUAGCAAACAGG